AAGCUUCACUAAGUGCCUAUGUCUACAUGUAGAAAAAAGAACAAAUUUUAAAAUGAGUCUCCAGCAUAUGACUUUAUAGUGCUCCUAGCAAUUUCAGAUAUUUUGGAAUGCCCUCACAGAGGAAAUGAUUUUUAAUUCAGGCUGCAGUUUCAUCUCCACUUAUGCUAGUCUUUUGCACUAUCAAGUACUAAUUUGAUUUUGUUCAGACAUGGAUAUGCCAUUGCAUUGCUGCUGAACUGGUCAAAAAUGCAAUAUAGAAUUUAUAUCAGCUUUCUUCUCUUACAGGGGUUUUAUGUCAGCUGUAGGAGGAAAAAUGACAUCUGAUCCCACAAAAAGCUGGUAGUACAAACACAGGAGUGGCUGUGGCAUUUCCAGUCCUAUAGCAAGAGCUAUGAAGCAAGAUUUACUGUAUUGUCAAGCCAUGACCUGAGGGUUUGAAGGAGCUUGGUUAGAAGAUUCAUAUUGUCACAUAAUAGGAUCUGUUGAAUGAGAUGAAAGAUUUCCACAUGAAACCGCUAUGGAAAUACUCAAUUCCUUUUAAAGAAAUUCACAAUUUAGGGUCCUGUCAGCAGCUCUGGGGUCUUUUGUUAGGUGCACUUAAAAUGCCAGAUUAAAUAUUAAUAUGUGGUUAGAGUUGUGCUAUUUUGCAAGCCCUGAAACCCUAUUAGUAAAUCAUGAUCUAGUGACUGAUGCAAGAAAUUUCAAGGCACCAAGAGUGCAGAUUGCCCAUCAAUCUGAUGGAUCACUAAUUUUUAGUAAAUCAGGCCCUUGGACUUUUCGCUGUAAGCAGAUGUAUGUUUCAUUGUGACGGGAAAAGCAGUCCAACUAACAGAGCAAUUUUCUGCACUGAAUGUGUAUCGUAACAGGCAGAGUUGUUUUGCAUAAUCAGUAAGUGAUUUGAACACAAGUGUUCAUUUAGCCGGCUCUGCAUAACUGAUGCCGUUCUUGAAAAAAACCCCACAUUUUGAACUAGAAGAGAAAUUUGUAUUGUUUUCGUAGAGUAGUACUAGGAUUUCAAAAUGGAUCCUCAAUGUGGUAGAGCUCCAGAAAGAUGCUGAAGAGGAAUGCCCAGGGAGAAGUAGAGUGGAGUAUUUCCAGCCAGCCUAAGGAGCUGCAUCCCUUCAACAGGCUUCAUCAUUCACUGACAAUUGGCGAUGAAUUCGUUCUCCCAGACACUGUCAUUUUGGAGCACUGAAGACAGUUCUUGGCACUUGAGGAAUACAUGUGCAAGCAUGCUGGCCACUGGAAUUAUGAGCACAACUGAAGGAAUGAUGUGUCCUUUCCCAUUGUGGCAAAGAUGUCUCAAGGACUCUAUUGGCUCUUAUGCAUUGACACUAUUUCUCACUCUGACAAAGAUCCAUCAAGCAUAAAUAAUUUUUUGGCCACAAUAUAGCAAAAUAAAAAUCUUAUUUCUAUGUGAGACUACACAUUGUAUAAGAGACACACAGAUAUGUACCUCAGGGGUACCUGCUUUCAGUUGUAACUGUAGUUUAUUCAGAACUUGCAGCUUACAUACUUGUCUCAAUGAUUUUUAGAAAAUAUAUAUAAUAAAAAUUUGUUGUGGAGCGAUAUAGGUUUAAGACUUGUAUGUUCCUGUGCAGAAGGAAAAGAUAAUAAAUAAUUGCAUUCUGCAUUCAUAUAAAACAAUGUCAAAGGCCCAAAUUCUGUCUAAACUCUCACAGACUUCCUGAUAUGAAAGUAAAUUGUAUUAACCCAUUGUAAAAACUGUAUGAACUGUACUUAACUUCUCCAAACAAACAUAUUUAGCAUCAAGAGAAGAAACAAAUACUGAUAAACUAGAAAUAAUUAAUAAAUGAAACUUUUUUGCAGAAUA